CCUGGAUGACUAAACCUGACAGAAACGCUGGUGGGAGGCUCAGGCGGGUGCCAGUGCCCGCGUAGGUCCUGCUCGCCCCGCAGCCACCACCCUCCCGGUGACCAUGAUAGGAUCCAUUCAGAAGUCUGUAAUGGUGCCCAGGACUGGGCUGACUUCUGCGUCUCUGCUUGUCCUAGCAUCUAGCAUACAGACAUGUAAUCACUUGCCUUUUAGCUGUGUCACCCUCCUGCUCCCUUCAGGAAUGCGUAUACUGUCUCAUCUAGUCCCAGCUUUUCACUCAAGG
rnacentral:lncRNA from 1 species